GUGUCAGCCGCCGCGGUAAUACGGAGGAGGCAAGCGUUAUCCGGAUUUAUUGGGCGUAAAGCGUCCGCAGGUGGUUCAGCAAGUCUGCUGUCAAAGCGCGAAGCUCAACUUCGUAUAGGCCGUGGAAACUGCUGAACUUGAGUGUGAUAGGGGCAGAGGGAAUUCCCAGUGUAGCGGUGAAAUGCGUAGAGAUUGGGAAGAACACCGGUGGCGAAAGCGCUCUGCUAGGCCGAAACUGACACUGAGGGACGAAAGCUAGGGGAGCGAAAGGGAUUAGAUACCCCUGUAGUCCUAGCUGUAAACGAUGGAGACUAGGUGUGGCCUGUAUCGACCCGGGCCGUGCCGGAGCUAACGCGUUAAGUCUCCCGCCUGGGGAGUACGCACGCAAGUGUGAAACUUAAAUGAAUUGGCGGGG
rnacentral:rRNA from 1 species